rnacentral:lncRNA from 1 species
UAUUAUACAAUAGGAGUUCUGUACAAAAUAAAUAAAUGAUUACAUCAUAAGGAGACAUGAUCCAGCAACCCAAAGUUGACUGGGAGACGACGGCCUAGACCUAUCACGAACACAUCGCAGCAUCCUCCAUGCGCCUUAUCCUGUGGUACCUGUUCUUGACCUGUGGGGGGUGUGAGAUAGCAAGGGUGAGCUCACACACGUUCAUAGCUCAACAAGUUGUGGGGAAUAAUGUGCAUGAACUCGCCAAAGGUGGGAGUUCAUGUGAUGUGAAAGGCUUACCAAAGAGAAUGGUUAAAGCUAAGCAUUGCUUUUAAAGUUGGCCAAAAUUUUAUUAGCAGUUACUAAGUAUAAGUAGAUACCAAACCAUAAUAGUAAUAGAACAAAUUAAUAAUAAAUCCCAUGCAAUGCAAAUGACAAAUUGAAUUUAGUUCCAUAAUUUAAUCAUGCGAGAGUCCUGAGCUACUCUUGACCGUGAGCUCGGCUAGUAUACCAGUUUUACACUCUGCAGAGGUUGUCCCCUGUACCCACAAGUCGUGUAUCCCAUGUCACCAGGGUUAGCUAGACCCUUAGACACUACCGAGGUGAAUGGCUAGGGAUCCACUACGAGGCCUUUACAAAGUUCCACUAGCUUCCGAAAACCCGCUAUAGUUUAUGGGAAGAGCACUUGCAAGAAUCCCUCGUCUGUCCGCCAUCGCAGCAAAAUCAACCUGAGAACUUCCCUACAUGCAACUCCCCUACUGCCCUUGCCCCUUUUGGGUAAGGUAAUCUUCCACUAGCUUUCCUAAUUAGUCAGCCAAUGGCGUUCCAUUCCACCCUUGUGGUGGCACGUGUUUCUCAAGUUAAGCUCCAUGUUCCAAUUAAAAUAAUAUAAUGAUCUUGAUAUGAACAUAAAUAAAAUAACACAAUAAUUGGAACAUGGAUAUAAUGAAAUAUUAACUAAAAACCAUGUAAAGCAAUAACAUAACUACCCAAAUGAUUCAGGGAUAAACAAGGUAAAAAGGAUAACCAGUCUAGGGUGACCUAUUGGGUCCCAUCAAAAUUAAACAUGUGCAUUAAAAAGUGAUAAUAAAGAACAUUAUUGGGUAAAUGAAAGUGAUCAAGGGCACAACUUGCCUGGGACUUGAGAUUCCAGGUACCAGGAUGAUUCUUCAGAUCCUCGUGACCUCACUGCUAGUCGUAGCAAUACAAACAGGUACAAGCAAGUAAACAUAUACAAGCAUAAGAACAUUACACCAUACAAGAAAAACAUUAUAAAAACCGGCAAUAUGAAAUAGAGAUCGCUUCUAUAGUCACAUGAGGAAAAGAAACGUAACAGCCAGAGCCACGGUCAAGAAGUUAUCGCGUUCACACUAAACAAGUAUUUGUUAGAACAUUUAAUUCUACAUAAUCAUAUUAAUUAACAUUUAUCAAAUAUAAAUUUAGACUACUACUUAGUUUUAACUAACUUACUAUUUCAAUAACCGAAGGAUAAACGACUAAUUAAUUAAUUAACAUGAGCGAUUAUAAGCAAAACAAUUUAAUAACACACGCGAGGACAACGCGCGACAUUGCGUGAAUUAGCGUGCAGGCAGCGGCGACGAUGCGCGGGGCCAGCGCGACGACGCGCACGAACGCGACAGCGAGAGUGCUGUCUAUGGCGCGCAACGCACGCAGACAACAUGCGCGAUACACGAGAAUCACUAACUGAUAUCACGUUUAUGCUAAGAAAAUAUUAAAUCAAAAUAUUUGAGUUGGUAUGCUAACGUAUAUUUAUAAAAGCGCUACUUAAAAUACAUUAAUUAGAUUUAAUUGGAAAGCUAAUUUCAUAACAUUAGUUAAACAAACAUUUAAUUAUUUAUUUAAUACAUGUGUCAUAAUGAAACAUUAUUAUUAAUGCGUCAACAACGUUAAUAUGAAUCUAACACAAUUUGAACUAUAUAAAACGGAUUUAUAAUACAACAUAUAUUGUAAAGUUAACAUAACACGAAUUUAAAAGGACAUGGCGUGAUUCUAUUGGAUGGAAUCCGACCACACAUAGGGCCACAGAGAGCAUCGUCGUAGAGGUCCUCGGGAUGUCAUUUGGGGAUGAGGGAUGGGAUAACAUGAAAUGUGAUCACAAGGGCCAAUCGUGCAGCGACAGGUGGAGAGGGAGAGCAAUUUGCCACCACGUGCUGCAUGGCUGCAUGCGUGGAAGAGAUCUCGCUUGGGGGAAGAAACGGUUUCUUAUUUCUCUCCUCUAGUCACGGAUGGUUGUUUCUUCCUGAACGCAAAUGGCCGGCGCUCGACGCACAGGGCCGUGCCGGGAAAAUUUGUGGCCCCGUACAAAAAUCUAAAAUAAGGCCUCUCUUUAGACAGAAAAUAUAACUUUUAAUACUAAUAUUGUAAUAAUUCUUUAAGAAAUAUUGUAAUACUUGCACAUUGCAAUAGGAUAAUGGAUCUUGCUCAAGGGUCUGAUUGGCAGAUGCCACUUGUGAUUCUUUUUGAACAAACCUAUCCAUAGAUCCUUUCAUAGACUGAGUUAAUUUUUCAAUUCUUUGUUUCUUCUUACGUUUUUGAUAACCUGAAUCAUGUUUUCUAAUUGGAUUCCGACUAGAAGACAUGACUUUGAUGCACUGUUCAAUAAACAAAGGAAUAUAUAUAGGAUGUCAUGUAAUUAUGUAAACAAAAACAAAAAUAAAUUGCUAUACGUGUAGACAUAGUAAAUGAAUAGAUUGUCUUGGGCAAUUACCUGCAGGCGAAAUAGAAAUUUGUAGGAUCACUGGAUCAGCGAUCUAGCUUCUUGGGACUUGGGAGGAGGAGCCAAAUAGCUAACGUCCAACAACAUAUAGACACGACAGGUCAGGAGAAAACUAGAUAUUGAGAUUUGAGAGGUGAGGAGGAGUAAUCAUGGAACAGGAAUUGGGAACGACGCACGACGGGAGGGAACAAGGACUCACGCGGUCACGCCGUCACGCCCGUCGUCUGAAAAAGCCAACCAAACCAGCAGAGCAGAGCAAUAGCGGUAGGUCUAUAGGUAUUAGGGAUUUUUUUGGGCCCCACAAAUUCAUGGGCCCUGUACGGUCGAACCGGUGGCACAUGCUCAGGCCCGGCCCUGUCGACGCACAGGCAGGGGCUGACUUUACUAGGCAGUGGCGGCUCGCCGGUUGGAGCAGAGCGUCGGCCCUCG